AGGAAAAGUGACUUUUCCAUCCUCCUCCUAGAGAGAUUCUCUGGAUAAUUCCUGCUUCUGGCUGAUAACCUUUUGGGGUCUUCAACAGCAUCAUUUGGAAAACAGUGCCACUGAACUCAACAAAACACUCAGGAAGCACCUACUACAUGCCAGACAGAGCACCAGUCUAUGGCUAUGAGGUCUAGAACCACUGCAACCAUUUGUGACCAUGCAGGAAGAUUCUGGAACUGCUAUAGGUUGUGGGGAAGCCCAGAAAGGUGCCUGAAGAGGAAGCCAACACCACAGAAGGCAGAGCCAAGAGGAGAAAAAGAAGUUCUUGUGAUGGCAUCAAGUCCCUGGAUCAAGCCUCACCUGAAGCCUAACCUAUUGCUGGUCUUUUUAGUGGCCUCAGCCAGUUAAAUGUUCUUUAUUAUAUAACCCAAUUUAAAUAAGGAUUUCUAUGUCUUGCAACAUAAAGGGCCCAUGUAUAAGGAAACCUUAGAAUAGGUACCCAACAGUGCCAAGGGCCUCCUCUGCACCCCAAGCCUCUAGGAGGAAGUGAGCCUGUUCCAGAACCCAAAUAAAAGGUCUCUCCUCCCACUUCUC